rnacentral:lncRNA from 1 species
AUCCCUUCUUCUCCAAAUGCUUUGCUUAUUUUUGGAGGCUAAUGUGAAAUUUAUACCAAAACUCAACAGAAGUUAAUCAGGCAAAUAUGGUGUGAAUAGUAAACCAAAAUUAGCAAGUUAAAUUGAUUUAAAUAUCAAUAGGUGAAUACGUCAUAGCAGAAAUGUAUUUGCUCAGGUGGGUGUGGUGGUAAUUUUCAUUGGCCUAUAAUCCCAGUGGCUCCGGAGGCUGAGGCAGGAGGAUUGCAAGUUCAAAGCCAGCCCCAGCAACUUAGUGAGGCCCUAAAGAACUUAGCAAGACUCUAUGUCUAAAUGUAAUAUAAAAAAAGGCUGGAGGAGCGGCUCACUGGUUAAGGACCCAGGGGUUCAAUCCCCAGGUACUGAAAGAAAAAUGUUUUUGCUCAGUCUUAUCAGGCACACUUCAGGUGCUCAAAAGCGACCUGCGGUCAGUGGCCACAGCACUGGACAGCAGAGAGAACAUGGCCAUCAUUGUAAAAAGCACUACUAGACACUCUAUACAUGAGAAUCAUGGAGCUAUGGAGCAAAACAGUAAAACUCACACAGAGCAAAAAUGGGGAAAAGGCAUUCUCUGACAAUAGACCAAAGAGAAAAUCAAAAUCAGUAUUGCAGAAUACCUAGAAGAAAAUGUAUCAAGCAACAAUAGAAUACAGUAAUCUCCACUGCUAAAGAAACGUCAGUCAUUGGCAGUAGUGGUGAGACCCGGAAGUCUACGCGUGAAUCCUCAGAGCGAGGCAGAGUCCCACAGGGGCCAUUGCUCUGCAAGUGCCAGGAAAGGUACCUGGACAGGAAAUGAAGGUGCAGUAUAAAUAAGAGCCACGAAAAGACGGGACUGUCAACUUUCACAGACAAUAUGAUCAUCUACCUAAAAAACCCAAGAAUUUACAGAAAAAUCUUAGAAUUCAUAACCAAGUUGUUUGAAUUAGCAGACACAGCUCUGCAUACUAAUCAGGAUCUUAUAAUGAAUCAACAAGUAGAAUUCGAUCCCUGUCUCACACCAUACACAAAGCCAUUCCAGAUGGGGUCACAUGAUUUUGAGAUGAUUUAAAUAUAAAUUAUUUUGCAUUGAAAUUUUCCAUGGUUAAUUUUUUAGGUCAUUGAUUUUCAUAAAUUAAUUUUACAUCAACUUGGGGUGAUUUGCAAGUCUGGACCUUUGUGUUUGCCACAACUGGGUGAGGGCAAGGGUGCUCCUGGUGUCUACUGCAUGAAGCCAGGGGUGUGCUAGGCACCCUACCAUGUACAGGGCAUCCCCCUCUCCCCCACAACCAAGUACUGUCCAGUUCCAAUGGCAACAAUGCUGAAUUAAAAACUCUGCUGUAACCUGACACUUGAAUGGGUUAUUGUGUUGCCUCUAGUCAUUUUCCCAGUUAACUUUGAAUUUUCUAGGUAUAUAAUCAUACCAAUUGCACAUAAUAUAAAAGUAUAUACAUACUAAUUGCAUAGAAUAAUCC